rnacentral:lncRNA from 1 species
UAUUUUGCUCACAUAUACUGUAGUUGGUCAUUAACGGGAUGCGGAAGGCAGCGUACGGGCAGUAUCUAAUUGUUUCCAGCCAUUUCAGUAUGAUAACUUUGGCGAUUUACAGAUAAUAGAAUACAAAGUUGGUUUGAAGUGAUCCUGAGCUGUGAAUCCUUAAUGCGUAUCGCUCCGGAAUCGUUUACUCGAGACCCUCUCGCACAUACCGUUACUCGGAUAUAGAUGAUACAGAUUGCCCGUCGUAACAACAGGACAUAGAAUACCCCAAAGGUAUCUACCGGAAUACAUUAAAUACUCGGAUGUUCUACAACACGCCCACGCGGGCAGAACUCUCUUCAUAUCAAAAACAACCUGCCAGUGAGUCCUGGAAAUCAGACCCGUGGGCAACCGCAUCACUGUUCAAUAGACGCCCAUCGCGUGAACGCACUCCAAAAACUCAGGGAACGGCAAUGGCUUAGUGAACACAGCUAUAACCAAAGGGAAGGUACUCGGGCACUCGUUAGCUUCUUCCACCUUCGGUCACCCCGAUAAGGUUAGCAUUCGCGGGCGCUCGGGGUCGCUCUGGAUCCCGGAACCGGAACUAGGCCUAGGGCUGCGAUAGGCAGCGACCUCUUACGGAUCCAUUCUUACGGUUUUCUGCCCUGCCCGCCCCCAACAAGUGCCUCCAUUCUAGUAAGGUCUAGAAUCGACCUUGCUCGAAGGUAAAUGAUGUUGUAAAAGCUGCUGCUGCUGCGUGUCAUCAGGUGGCGGCUGUGAGCCCGGACACCUCAGUGGAGCAGAGCACACAAACGACGCCUCCAAGCAGCUGCUGUUGCUGCUGCUACUGCUGCUACUGCUGCUGCUGCUGUUACUGCUGCUGCAGGUCUUUGGCGUGCGUGGAGCGAGCUGGCGGGUUUCGCCCGGUUUUGGAAUGUGUUAUUAUGGCUGUCAAGUUCUUGGGGUACAGCUGGCGCGAAGCAAGGCAAGCAAGCUUUGGGCAGGGGGCCGGUAUGGUUGCCGCACAGAGCAGGCGGCUCGCUAGGUAGGCAUUCUGGGGAGCGAGGGGGGCCACUAGUGCUUCGGGUGCAUUCUUUCGAUGUGCCGCAGUUGCAACCAGGUUCGUGCGCAAAAUAAUUUCUCAGUUCACAGCUUGCGAUUCGACUGGUUGCGUCUUGCUGUCUCGCGCGAAUCUAAGUUUCCAAGGGCUCGGGUCCCUGCUGCUGCUCCUCUCUGAAUUCUUCUCGUGUUGAGUUUUUGUCGCUUACUUGGUGGCUGGUACUCAAGCCUUCCGGAAGCGCAAUGUAACGUGACGGCAGCUAGCCUAUUCAAAACACUAACAACUAACAACCAACACUUACAAAUUCCCAGUGCUGUUCACGGUCAAUUGUCGCCCGAUGGCCCUACCCUGGGCCAUUCCCUUGGGGUCUGGGGCAGGGGGGUUGCAG